CCUGCGGAGGGAUCAUUACCGAGUUUACAACUCCCAAACCCCUGUGAACAUACCUAUAAUUUGCCUCGGCGGACUCAACGACGGUGCUCCGAGAAAUCGGUCGCCGCUCGCUGCCAGAGGAACCCCAAACUCUAUGUAUUCUUGUGGAUCUUCUGAGUAAAACAAAACAAAUAAAUCAAAACUUUCAACAACGGAUCUCUUGGUUCUGGCAUCGAUGAAGAACGCAGCGAAAUGCGAUAAGUAAUGUGAAUUGCAGAAUUCAGUGAAUCAUCGAAUCUUUGAACGCACAUUGCGCCCGCCAGUAUUCUGGCGGGCAUGCCUGUUCGAGCGUCAUUUCAACCCUCAAGCCCCCGGGCUUGGUGUUGGGGAUCGGCGAUAGUCGCCGUCCCCCAAAUCUAGUGGCGGUCUCGCUGUAGCCUCCAUUGCGUAGUAGCUAACACCUCGCAACUGGAACGCGGCGCGGCCAAGCCGUUAAACCCCCAACUUCUGAAUGUUGACCUCGGAUCAUGUAGGAAUACCCGCUGAACUUAAGCAUAUC
rnacentral:rRNA from 1 species